rnacentral:tRNA from 1 species
ACCUGGCCAGCUCAGUUGAUAGAGUAUGUGACUCUUGAUCUCAGGGUUAUGGGUUCAAGCCCCACGUUGGGUG